AGUGAACGCUGGCGGUAGGCCUAACACAUGCAAGUCGAACGGCAGCACAGUAAGAGCUUGCUCUUACGGGUGGCGAGUGGCGGACGGGUGAGGAAUACAUCGGAAUCUACUUUUUCGUGGGGGAUAACGUAGGGAAACUUACGCUAAUACCGCAUACGACCUACGGGUGAAAGCAGGGGAUCAUCGGACCUUUCGCGAUUGAUUGAGCCGAUGUCGGAUUAGCUAGUUGGCGGGGUAAAGGCCCACCAAGGCGACGAUCCGUAGCUGGUCUGAGAGGAUGAUCAGCCACACUGGAACUGAGACACGGUCCAGACUCCUACGGGAGGCAGCAGUGGGGAAUAUUGGACAAUGGGCGCAAGCCUGAUCCAGCCAUACCGCGUGGGUGAAGAAGGCCUUCGGGUUGUAAAGCCCUUUUGUUGGGAAAGAAAAGCAGCAGGUUAAUACCCCGCUGUUCUGACGGUACCCAAAGAAUAAGCACCGGCUAACUUCGUG
rnacentral:rRNA from 1 species